rnacentral:lncRNA from 1 species
UCCCAUAUAAUAUAUAUAUACAUAUAUUAUAAUUAUACAGGUAUAUUAUUAUUAUUAUUAUUAUACAUGUAUACAUGUACAUGUAUUUUUAAACUCUCAAGAAAUGCCUUUUAAUAUGGGCCUAAGCAAAUAUAUAUACAUAUGCAAAAAGUUUUGAGGGUCCCCUUGAUCUGAGGCCCGGGACAAUCGCCCUCGGAGCCUAGGCCUAAGGCCAGCCUUGAUGAGUUAUUUGAAAUCUAUUUUGUUUUCAUCAUUUCCUUUUUAUUCAUAUUUGGGCAUACAUAAUUGUAAUAGUCUAAACAAACAAUUUAACUUUAUAAUGUUAUUCAAAUCCCUAAAUUUGGAAUCACUCCAUCCAAAUCCUAAUGCAUUAUGUGACUCGCAUUCUUUACAUGAAAAUUUCUCUUCAAGGAUGCAAACUCUACUUUACAUGCGUAACACAUUAUUGGUUCUUAUCGUACAUAGGACACUAGCUAGAUUUUUUUUUUUUUUUUUUUUGGGGUCUGAAGGACACUAGCUAGAUUUUUACUUCUAUUUUUUUGGUAUAAAGGACGCUAUAUAUUACGUGAUUCACAUUCUUGAUCAUUAAUUUUAUUUGAAAAUUUCUCUUCACGGAUGCAAACUCUACUUUACAUGCGCAUCACAUUUUUUAUUCUUAUCGUACGACACUAGCUAUCUUUUUCAUUCUUUUUAGUGAGAAUAAAGUAAGUAUAUUAGCAAGUCGUAAUAUUUAUGGCAAGCCAAUCUUCAUGAUGAGCAAAACAUUCUCUUUUUUCAGAGUGUUGUCCAAAACAACAUAUAUGCUACUGCAUGAUUAAAGUUACAAG